CAGCCGCCGCGGUAAUACGUAGGGUGCGGGCGUUAAUCGGAAUUACUGGGCGUAAAGCGUGCGCAGGCGGUUGUGUAAGACAGGUGUGAAAUCCCCGGGCUUAACCUGGGAACUGCGCUUGUGACUGCACAGCUAGAGUAUGGCAGAGGGGGGUGGAAUUCCACGUGUAGCAGUGAAAUGCGUAGAGAUGUGGAGGAACACCGAUGGCGAAGGCAGCCCCCUGGGCCAAUACUGACGCUCAUGCACGAAAGCGUGGGGAGCAAACAGGAUUAGAUACCCGAGUAGUCCCUGUCUCUUAUAC
rnacentral:rRNA from 1 species